rnacentral:rRNA from 1 species
GGACUACUAGGGUUUCUAAUCCUGUUUGCUCCCCACGCUUUCGCGCCUCAGCGUCAGUAUCGGUCCAGAGAGCCGCCUUCGCCACCGGUGUUCUUCCCAAUAUCUACGAAUUUCACCUCUACACUGGGAAUUCCACUCUCCUCUCCCGAACUCCAGCUUGGGAGUAUCGAGCGCCAUUCCCGGGUUGAGCCCGGGGCUUUCACGCCCAACUUCCCAUGCCGCCUGCGCGCCCUUUACGCCCAGUAAUUCCGAACAACGCUAGCCCCCUUCGUAUUACCGCGGCUGCUGGCAC